UAACCUGCCCACUGAUAAAAAUUUAAUGGCCGCGGUAUUAUGACCGUGCAAAGGUAGCAUAAUCAUUAGUCUUUUAAUUAAAGGCUUGUAUGAAUGGUUGGACAAAGGGAAAACUGUCUGUCUUUAAUAAAAAUUGAAUUUAACUUUUAAGUGAAAGGGCUUAAAUAUUUCAAAGGGACGAUUAGACCCUAUAAAGCUUUAUAAAGAAUAAAAGUUAGGUUGAAGUUUUUAUUAAAAUUUAAGAUUUAUAUUUUUAUUAGGUUGGGGCAACAAAGGGAUAGUUGUAAGUAACUGCUUUGUUUAUAAACAAAUAUAUUUGUAUAAAAGUUAAUUGAUCCUUUAUUUAAAGAUUUAAAGAUUAAGUUACUUUAGGGAUAACAGCGUUAUUUUUUUUGAGAG
rnacentral:rRNA from 1 species